rnacentral:rRNA from 1 species
GACGAACGCUGGCGGCGUGCUUAACACAUGCAAGUCGAACGGAAAGGCCUGCUUUCCCUUGUGGAUUGCGGGUACUCGAGUGGCGAACGGGUGAGUAACACGUGAGUGAUCUGCCCCCAACUUGGGUAUAAGCCUGGGAAACUGGGUCUAAUUCCCGAUAGGACUGCAGGGUGGUGCCUGUGGUGGAAAACGAUUUUCUAGUGGUUGGGGAUGAGCUCGCGGCCUAUCAGCUUGUUGGUGGGGUAAUGGCCUACCAAGGCGGCGACGGGUAGCCGGACUGAGAGGGUGGACGGCCACAUUGGGACUGAGAUACGGCCCAGACUCCUACGGGAGGCAGCAGUGGGGAAUAUUGCACAAUGGGCGGAAGCCUGAUGCAGCGACGCCGCGUGGGGGAUGACGGCCUUCGGGUUGUAAACUCCUUUCGACCGCGAGGAAGCCACCUGGUUGGAAGGGUGGUGACGGUAGUGGUAGAAGAAGCACCGGCUAACUACGUG